UACGGGGGGGGGCAAGCGUUGUCCGGAAUUAUUGGGCGUAAAGAGCUUGUAGGCGGUUUGUCGCGUCUGCUGUGAAAUUUCGGGGCUCAACCCCGAACUUGCAGUGGGUACGGGCAGACUAGAGUGUGGUAGGGGAGACUGGAAUUCCUGGUGUAGCGGUGAAAUGCGCAGAUAUCAGGAGGAACACCGAUGGCGAAGGCAGGUCUCUAGGCCAUAACUGACGCUGAGAAGCGAAAGCAUGGGGGAGCGAACAGG
rnacentral:rRNA from 1 species